GAAGGUCCUUCCAACAUAACUUCAGGAACAGUUACAGAACAAUCACUGGAAGUGUUAAAUGCUACAGAAAGUAGCAUAGUUGUCAGAAUUAGAGGGCCAAAAAUAUUGAUGGGAAAGUCGAACUUCAGCCCUGAGUUUGAAGGUGUUAAUUGCUUGACAUUCUGAAUUAGGUGGUAUGUAAGAUUACAAUGUCAUCAAAGCAUUGACUGGCUUCAGUGUGGUUGUUCUACUCUGCAAAUCUACGAAAGUUGGUGGAUGUUGUCCUUGGUACUCUGGAGUUUUCCCUGGCCUUUUGAUGAUCUUUGAGUCUUCAGUGGAUUGAAUCAAGGAGGAGCAGCUUCCCACAACCUGAAAUUGACAAUAGUCAA